rnacentral:misc_RNA from 1 species
UGUAGGAGCGAGCUUGCUCGCGAUGAGGCCAUAACAUUCAGCAUUAAUGUUGAAUGUCAGUGCGCUAUCGCGAGCAAGCUCGCUCCCACA